rnacentral:rRNA from 1 species
AUACGUAGGGGGCGAGCGUUGUCCGGAAUGAUUGGGCGUAAAGGGCGCGUAGGCGGCCCGGUAAGUCUGGAGUGAAAGUCCUGUUUUUAAGAUGGGAAUUGCUUUGGAUACUGUCGGGCUUGAGUGCAGGAGAGGUAAGUGGAAUUCCCAGUGUAGCGGUGAAAUGCGUAGAGAUCGGGAGGAACACCAGUGGCGAAGGCGGGUAACUGGACUGCAACUGACGCUGAGGCGCGAAAGUGUGGGGAGCAAACAGGAUUAGAUACCCUGGUAGUCCACACUGUAAACGAUGAAUGCUAGGUGUAAGAGGUAUCGACCCCUUUUGUGCCGGAGUCAACACAAUAAGUAUUCCGCCUGGGGAGUACGGCCGCAAGGUUGAAACUCAAAGGAAUUGACGGGG